CGACAGUGUUCUCAGACGACGCCUGCGCAGUGGCCGCCGCCGGCGGGGUGGCUGACGCUGCGGGGUUGAGGGAGUUCCUGCGGGUGGCUGUCACCGCCCCGUUCCUCUCCCAAUGGUGUUCUCCUGAGGCUAGCUGCCUGCGGGCGUCGCCCCGGGAUGGAGCACAUCCGGACAACCAAGGUUGAACAAGUAAAGUUACUUGACCGGUUUAGUACCAACAACAAGUCACUGACAGGAACACUGUAUCUUACGGCCACACACCUAUUAUUUAUUGAUGCUCAUCAAAAAGAAACCUGGGUAAGGUGGACUGUCUACCUUUGCAACAAUAGUAGGCUGGUUUUUAAUUAUCAGGUUUUUGUCUUUGUUUUUGCUUUGGACAGUGUCGUUCUAUAUAUCCCAGACUGGUCUUGAACUUCCUAUAUAUUCUGGAGAGCUAGGAUAUAGGCAUGUAUAAUUACUUAGAGAUCAAUUAACUUUUUUUCUGUUUUCAAAUGACUCCUCCCUUCUAUGAAUAAUUUAUAGCACUUGUAAUAUGAAAUUAUGUAGAAUACCAGACUCUUUUAACCUCUGUAGAAACUUAGGAAAUGCCUCUUUGUUCCUUAAGUGUCUUAAAAGUCAAGGUAAUGUCUGUUCAUAUUAGCAAUCAUACGGAUUACAUAGUAUAUUCCACAGCAUUUUAGUGCCAAAUUACAGUAGGG
rnacentral:lncRNA from 1 species